rnacentral:rRNA from 1 species
AUGGGGUUGCUGCUGCUGCUUCAUGUCCUGCUGGUCGCGGCGGUGGGGAGGGCCCCGGCGGCGCAGGCAUGGGGCAAGGAGGGCCACUACAUGACCUGCAAGAUCGCCGACGGUUUCCUGACGAGGGAGGCAUUGACGGGGGUGAAGGCCCUCCUGCCGUCGUGGGCCAACGGGGAGCUCGCAGAGGUGUGA